rnacentral:rRNA from 1 species
UACGGGGGGGGCAAGCGUUGUUCGGAAUCAUUGGGCGUAAAGGGUGCGUAGGCGGUGCGGUAAGUCCCGUGUGAAAUCCCUCGGCUCAACUGAGGAACCGCACGGGAAACUGCUUGGCUUGAGUUCGGGAGAGGGAAGCGGAAUUCCGGGUGUAGCGGUGAAAUGCGUAGAUAUCCGGAGGAACACCGGUGGCGAAGGCGGCUUCCUGGACCG